rnacentral:rRNA from 1 species
AGUGAACGCUGGCGGUAGGCCUAACACAUGCAAGUCGAACGGCAGCACAGUAAGAGCUUGCUCUUACGGGUGGCGAGUGGCGGACGGGUGAGGAAUACAUCGGAAUCUACUUUUUCGUGGGGGAUAACGUAGGGAAACUUACGCUAAUACCGCAUACGACCUACGGGUGAAAGCAGGGGAUCUUCGGACCUUGCGCGAUUGAAUGAGCCGAUGUCGGAUUAGCUAGUUGGCGGGGUAAAGGCCCACCAAGGCGACGAUCCGUAGCUGGUUUGAGAGGAUGAUCAGCCACACUGGAACUGGGACACGGUCCAGACUCCUACGGGAGGCACCAGUGGGGAAUAUUCGACAAUGGGCGCAAGCCUGAUCCAGCCAUCCCGCGUGGGUGAAGAAGGCCUUCGGGUUUUAAAGCCCUUUUGUUGGGAAAGAAAAGCAGCAGGUUAAUACCCCGCUGUUCUGACGGUACCCAAAGAAUAAGCACCGGCUAACUUCGUG